UCAAUGGCUCUAUUUAGAGCCACAUUUCUCAGGCUGGGCAACGAACU
rfam:Operophtera brumata OBRT01_Sc02932, whole genome shotgun sequence.